GAUGAACGCUGGCGGCGUGCCUAAUACAUGCAAGUCGAGCGAACAGAUGAGGAGCUUGCUCCUCUGACGUUAGCGGCGGACGGGUGAGUAACACGUGGAUAACCUACCUAUAAGACUGGGAUAACUUCGGGAAACCGGAGCUAAUACCGGAUAAUAUAUUGAACCGCAUGGUUCAAUAGUGAAAGACGGUUUUGCUGUCACUUAUAGAUGGAUCCGCGCCGCAUUAGCUAGUUGGUAAGGUAACGGCUUACCAAGGCAACGAUGCGUAGCCGACCUGAGAGGGUGAUCGGCCACACUGGAACUGAGACACGGUCCAGACUCCUACGGGAGGCAGCAGUAGGGAAUCUUCCGCAAUGGGCGAAAGCCUGACGGAGCAACGCCGCGUGAGUGAUGAAGGUCUUCGGAUCGUAAAACUCUGUUAUUAGGGAAGAACAAAUGUGUAAGUAACUAUGCACGUCUUGACUGUACCUAAUCAGAAAGCCACGGCUAACUACGUG
rnacentral:rRNA from 1 species